AAGCAUAUCAAUAAGCGGAGGAAAAGAAACCAACAGGGAUUGCCCUAGUAACGGCGAGUGAAGCGGCAACAGCUCAAAUUUGAAAUCUGGCCUCGGCCCGAGUUGUAAUUUGCAGAGGAUGUUUCUGGCGCGGUGCCUUCCGAGUUCCCUGGAACGGGACGCCAAAGAGGGUGAGAGCCCCGUAUGGUCGGACACCAAGCCUGUGUGAAACUCCUUCGACGAGUCGAGUAGUUUGGGAAUGCUGCUCUAAAUGGGAGGUAAAUCUCUUCUAAAGCUAAAUACCGGCCAGAGACCGAUAGCGCACAAGUAGAGUGAUCGAAAGAUGAAAAGCACCUUGAAAAGGGGGUUAAAUAGUACGUGAAAUUGUUGAAAGGGAAGCACUUAUGACCAGACUUGGGCCGGGCGGCUCAUCAGGGGUUCUCCCCUGUGCACUCCGCCCGGCACAGGCCAGCAUCGGUUCUCGUGGGGGGAUAAGACCGUCAGGAACGUAGCACCCUCCGGGGUGUGUUAUAGCCUGGCGGACGAUACCCUCGUGGGGACCGAGGUUCGCGCUCCGCAAGGAUGCUGGCGUAAUGGUCAUCAGUGACC
rnacentral:rRNA from 1 species